UCCUUCAACAACAACAGUUAGUCAGACACCUCAGUAGCUUUCUAGCAAACAUAGCUACAACAUUCACGGUCUUUACACUGUUAUGGUGUAUAUUAGUCGCUGUGUUUUAAACACACUUCUGUCGUAUGUACUUGUUGGCCCAUUUAAUUAUAUAAUUACGUUGUUUGUCAGCUAGCUGGUUUGCUAAAUUAGCUUAGAACUAGGCUAGUUGCUAAUGCUAGCUAGCGAACAUCCCCGACCAUGAGUUCACUAAGCUACUCUUCUCCUGCUAAAAAAGAGGUCUUCUGGACGGAGAAAGAAGCUCUCCUGAAAGAGGAGGAGGAAGAGAAGGAUGUUACAAUACAAAAAGAAGUAGAGGGUGAGGCUGUUACCGUGAAAGAAGAAGAGAAAGACGUUUCUGUGGAAGAAAAGGAAGACUCGUUCAGAGUGAAAGAGGAGGAGGAUGUUACAGUAAAAUAAGAGGAGGCAGAGAGAGAGGAGGAUGCCGUUUUUGGAGUGAAAAAGGGGGAGGGGGAGAUGACUGUCACAUCGAAAAAGGAGGAAGAGGACGAAGAGGAGGAAACUGGACAUCUGGGCCCGGUUACCCAAACGCAUCUUAAGGCCUCCUAUGGUUCGGAGGUGAACUUAUCCGUAAGAUGGUUUUGAGAAACCGGGCCGUGAUUAACACUAGAGAGAGACGUGACUAUCGUGGAUCCUCUGGGGAGCCUCAACAACAUUAUGAAACUGAUGAGGCAGAGAAGAGUCCCUCCCGAUCAGAACACCUCAAGAAACACCAGAGGAGACCAACAGGGAAGAAAUCUCAUUUCUGCUCUGACUGUGGGAAAGGUUGCAAAUCUUCAUCAGAACUUAAAAUACACCAGCGAGUACACACAGGAGAGAAAUCUCACCACUGUUUUGAUUGUGGGAAGAGUUACUUAAGAUCAAAUUCACUAAAAGUACACAUGAGAAUUCACACUGGAGAGAAAUCUUAUAGCUGUGAUCAAUGUGGGAAGAGUUUUACUACAUCUAGCCAUCGGAUUGUACACCAGAGAACACACACAGGAGACAAAUCGUAUAGCUGUGAUCAAUGUGGGAAGAGUUUUACUCAGUCAAGCAGCCUCUUAUCGCACCAGAGAAAACACUCAGGAGAGAAACCUUACAGCUGUGAUCAAUGUGGGAAGAGUUUUACUCAGUCAAGCAACCUGGUAUCACACCAGAGAACACACACAGGAGAGAAACCGUAUAGCUGUGAUUAAUGUGGGAAGAGUUUUACUACAUCCAGCCAUCUGAUUAUACACCAGAGAACACACACAGGAGAGAAACCUUAUAGCUGUGAUCAAUGUGGGAAAAGUUUUACUACAUCUAGCCAUCUGAUUGUACACCAGAGAACACACACAGGAGAGAAAUCUUAUAGCUGUGGUCAAUGUGGGAAGAGCUUUACUACAUCUAGCUAUAUGACUAUACACCAGAGAACACACCCAGGAGAGAAACCUCAUAGCUGUGAUCAAUGUGACAAGCGAUACUCUGAUAAAAGAUCUCUGAUCAAACAUCAGAAAAUACAUACAUGAAGGAGUUGUUUCAUGAUAUCAAUGAAAUUAUGUCACAAUGUAGAAUGUUUUAACAUUGUAGUAGGAGUAUUUUAAUGAUGUCACAAUGUAGAAUGUUUUCACAUUGUAGUAGGAGUAUUUUAAUGAUGUCACAAUGUAGAUUGUUUUCACAUUGUAGUAGGAGUAUUUUAAUGAUGUCACAAUGUAGCUUGUUUUCACAUUGUAGUAGGAGUAUUUUAAUGAUGUCACAAUGUAGAAUGUUUUAACAUUGUAGAAGGAGUAUUUUAAUAAUGUCACAAUGUAGAAUGUUUUAACAUUGUAGUAGGAGUAUUUUAAUAAUGUCACAAUGUAGAAUGUUUUAACAUUGUAGUAGGAGUAUUUUAAUAAUGUCACAAUGUAGAAUGUUUUAACAUUGUAGUAGGAGUAUUUUAAUAAUGUCACAAUGUAGAAUGUUUUAACAUUGUAGUAGGAGUAUUUUAAUAAUGUCACAAUGUAGAAUGUUUUAACAUUGUAGUAGGAGUAUUUUAAUAAUGUCACAAUGUAGAAUGUUUUAACAUUGUAGAAGGAGUAUUUUAAUAAUGUCACAAUGUAGAAUGUUUUAACAUUGUAGUAGGAGUAUUUUAAUGAUGUCACAAUGUAUAAUGUUUUCACAUUGUAGUAGGAGUAUUUUAAUGAUGUCACAAUGUAGAAUGUUUUAACAUUGUAGUAGGAGUAUUUUAAUGAUGUCACAAUGUAUAAUGUUUUCACAUUGUAGUAGGAGUAUUUUAAUGAUGUCACAAUGUAGAAUGUUUUAACAUAGUAGAAGGAGUAUUUUAAUAAUGUCACAAUGUAGAACACUAGACGUUUGCCCCCUGUUCUAUUGAUUUCAGCAUGAUAUGGAUAUUAACCUCAUGGAAAAAUCCAGGCUAUUAAUCCAGUACUAUUUAUGUGAUUUAACAAAAAGUGACUAACAAAAAAAGAGCUGUGUUACACUUACAGCAUUGGUGACCCACUUGAAUCAAAAUGUAGCUAGCUGUUUUCUACAAGUUGUCCUCUAACCAGUGAUGUACACAUUAUUCCCAGAUUUACAUCUGGUUUUUGAGCUGUUAGUUUUAACAUGACAUGCAACCUCAUCUCCCCACUCUCACGCAAAUGAUUUCAACAUGAUAUCGAUGAGUGAUGACAAAUAAGUGUUUCGUUCCUUUGUUUAGGGACCUCUAAGUUUAAAUGCAUCACUCCAAAAUGUAGCUGACUGUCUUCUGCAGGUUGUCCUCUAACCAGUGAGGUAAAAUAUAUCUCCCAUUUCCAUGUGUUUUUUUAGUUGUGUUAGUUUCAACAGCACGUACAACCUGAUUUCCCCCCUAAUUGAUAUCAGUGAUUUAUUGCUACUUGUCAAAACAACAGUGUUUCUGGUGCUUGUGCAUUUUAAAAGGUGCUUGUUUUAAAAAAUACAAGUAAUAUGAUUA